rnacentral:rRNA from 1 species
GAUGAACGCUGGCGGCGUGCCUAAUACAUGCAAGUCGAGCGAACGGACGAGAAGCUUGCUUCUCUGAUGUUAGCGGCGGACGGGUGAGUAACACGUGGAUAACCUACCUAUAAGACUGGGAUAACUUCGGGAAACCGUAGCUAAUACCGGAUAAUAUUUUGAACCGCAUGGUUCAAAAGUGAAAGACGGUCUUGCUGUCACGUAUAGAUGGAUCCGCGCUGCAUUAGCUAGUUGGUAAGGUAACGGCUUACCAAGGGAACGAUGCAUAGCCGACCGGAGAGGGUGAUCGGCCACACUGGAACUGAGACACGGUCCAGACUCCUACGGGAGGCAGCAGUAGGGAAUCUUCCGCAAAGGGCGAAAGCCUGACGGAGCAACGCCGCGUGAGUGAUGAAGGUCUUCGGAUCGUAAAACUCUGUUAUUAGGGAAGAACAUAUGUGUAAGUAACUGUGCACAUCUUGACGGUACCUAAUCAGAAAGCAACGGCUAACUACGUG